AACGAACGCUGGCGGCAUGCCUAACACAUGCAAGUCGAACGAAGGCUUCGGCCUUAGUGGCGCACGGGUGCGUAACGCGUGGGAAUCUGCCUUGGGUUCGGAAUAAACAGCGAGAAAUUGCUGCUAAUACCGGAUAAUGUCGCAAGACCAAAGAUUAUUGCCCAAGGAUGAGCCCGCGUUGGAUUAGCUAGUUGGUGGGGUAAAAGCCUACCAAGGCGACGAUCCAUAGCUGGUCUGAGAGGAUGAUCAGCCACACUGGGACUGAGACACGGCCCAGACUCCUACGGGAGGCAGCAGUGGGGAAUAUUGGACAAUGGGCGAAAGCCUGAUCCAGCAAUGCCGCGUGAGUGAUGAAGGCCUUAGGGUUGUAAAAGCUCUUUUACCCGGGAUGAUAAUGACCGUAACCGGGAGAAUAAGCUCCGGCUAACUCCGUGCCAGCAGCCGCCGU
rnacentral:rRNA from 1 species